UUCCAGAAGACAUUUAAUUCGGCUUUGCAAGACACUGUGCUUGGUAUUUCGUAAACUAACAUUAUAUAGCAAGCACGACAUUAACUGUUCAAUAAAACAGCGUUCAUGUACAUAAAUUGUGUGAACUCAAAUCAUGAAGUAUACGAUUUUCUGUCAUUCUUGGUUUGGUCGUUGAAGAGAUAAGACGUAUUUUUUGUGCUCUCGACGUCGCGCUCAGUAUAUAAAUUGAACUGCGCGGGCAAAAAAACGCUCAGUUGACCAAUAGACUUUGACAAAGACAGACGUUAAUUUUGUGAUCUCUGAAAAAAAUUUGACAUGAUUUUUUUUUAUGAUGACUAUGUCUCAGUUGACUUUUGAACGUUAACGAAUAUGAACGUACUUUCGUGAGCUCUGACUACAGUAUCGAUGAAAAGUUUUGAGUUUAACUGACUUGACUUCGCGUUAUAGAAUAGCGACUUGGUACUCGGGUUAUUGAAUGACUGGUGGACUGUAGUGUUAGGUUAUUGUCAUGAGAUAACAACUUGACUUUGACUUGAGUUGUGUGCAAUUAAAUUUGUGUUGGGGUGUCAAGCGAUUGACUUCACUUGAACUCUGGACGUCGGAGUGAUCAGAUGUGUUUUUGAAGCUGGUGUCUACGAAAACGUGAGUACAAACUUUUGUGUUUGACUGUUGACGUGUCUCACUGUGUAUGAUGAUUUAUGAUGAUUUAAAGCGGCUGGCGUAUUAUUGUUGAGUUGUUGUACUGAUAGAGAAGUGAAAUGCGUUGGGUAUAAAUUACUCAGUACUUAUACAGUGUCGAUAAUAUGGUGUGAUGAGAGAUGAUGGUGUUACAAAAUAUUUACUGAGCUACUUUGGGAAACGAACCGAUGAUGUAAAAACAUUGGAAACAUAUUUCAUGAAAAUGCAUGUGCUUAUAUGUACUAAAUAUGAUAUUGCUUUACUUGUAUUUGCAUGUCGUUAACAUUUCUAUUUUAUUUCAGUAUGCUGUGGUGAGUAUUGCAGAUUUAACUUGUAUGUGUGGUUUUUAGUUAACGAUGCUUAAUGAAAACUAUUAUUGUACACUUAGUAUGGAAUGAUGUGAAUGAUGAUAUGAUGGGUAGAAUUAAUCAGUGCUUGUGUCUAGAAAUGCUGAAUGUUUAUUGAAAAGGCUAAAUGCUAGCCAAAACUAACAGUUGAGCUACCGUGGGGAUGUCAAACGAAUUGAUGGUGUAAUAUGAUGGUGUAUCGACAUACUUUUCUUAUAUGCACUAUAUUUGAUACAUGUAUUGGUUUACAUUUUUUGCAUGCUGUUACAGUUUUUGUUUCAGUGUGCUGUGGUAAGUACUGUAGAUAUUACUUGAUUUUUAGUGUCUAUGAAUGCUGAUGUAUGAUAGCUAUAGCAUGAGCUCAAUGCUAACCAGUAUUAUGAGUUGAUGUAUUGUGGUGAUGCUAAUCGAACUGAUGAUGUAACAUGAUGGUGAACACUUACUGAAUGCAUACAAUUUAUUGAAUUGCGUUUGUUGAUAUGCACUAUAAUAUGAUUAAUGUAUUGCUUGACAUGUAUUUUUCAUGAUGUUUAAUUUCAGUUUGCUGUGGUGAGUACUGUAGAUUGUAUUGCCUAUGUAUAGAAUUCAAUAAAAGAUUAUGACUGAAAACUGCUUUUGAUUCUUUUUGUACAGUUUUAGGGACUAUAAGUCUAUAACAAAAAUAUGUCGGUUUAUGUUCAUGAGUGUGGGCUUAAUACAGCAAUGUUUGAGUAGUACAGAAAUGUUUCUUCGUUUGUGGUCGCCAGUUGUCUGUGACUUGUAAAGUGAAAAAUACGCAUAGCUUUGAAUGCAACAACUAUUUACUGUUUUAACAAAGAUUGUGUACUAUGCAUGUUUUGAUGUAGAUCUUUUCAGAUUUGACAUAAAAUGAAGACCUGUCAGUUUAACAGAGCUGGGAAACGAAGAGGUAAGUGUGUUUCAUCUUACUAUGAACACUGGUAUUUUGACAAAAGAAGAGAUAAAGUGAGUUUCUUCAUUAUCAUGGUUUCUUUCAGAGUAUAACUUAUGAACAAAUCAAAACCUAUUUUUUACUAGAUUUUCAUGUACUCUUUUUUUGGAUGAUGAGUAACUUAAAAUCAUACGGCUAGUACAGUAUGGAACAUGAAUGCUUUGUUCAGAUUUUUAGAUGUGUGCUGGCAGUUCAAGUCUGGCAGCUGAAGUGAACAGUCAUGAUUUUGUUGGAGCUCCAACAAUAUGCUAGAAGGUAAGUAACUAUGUUUAAUUUGCAUUGCAUGUUUUCCUAUGUUUCAGACUUUUAAACAGAGAUGUCAUGAUGACUGGAGUUGAGCACAGGGCAGUGAUAAAGUAAAAGGUAAGUACUUUUGACUGAAUGUUUGUUCUAUGCAUGUUUUGCUAUAAUACAUUCCAGGAGUGCUUAUGCAGUGAUGAUUUGACAGUUGAGUGAAAGUGGAGCCAUGCAGUCUUGAUUUUGAAGCUUCUCAACAAGCCUUGAAGGUAAGGUUAGAAUGACUCAAUGUUAGUGAAUUAUUUAAAAAAAUAUACUGUCAGUGAAGUACUGUCAGUUGCAUUUGGACAGUUGAGCAGAACAGACGUAGCUGUAAGAGCUCUCAUAUCUGUUGUGUAAAACUGUCCUAAUGAUAUGUUAUGCUUGUUUGUUUCUGUUGUACUAUUUUUCAGAUACGUUUGGCAGUGAAGGAUUGAAAGCUGACAUGAACAGAAAAAAGAUGCUGUUGGCAGUGAUGGGUUUGGAAGCUGGCAUGAACAGAAAAGCAAACAUAUGGUGAGUACAAAAUAGUUUUUAUAUGGUAUGUUUUGUGCAUGCUUCUAUGUUUCAGAUGUACUUGCAGUCAACAACGAAGAUGAUUCAAGAAGAGAAACAUUGUUGUGAUGUGAAUAGAACGUUCAAAUAGGGUAAGUGUAACAAUUGUGGUAGUUUGAUUUGUACCAUGUGUGUAUUGCUAUGUUUCAGAUUGCACAUGCAGAGAUGGUUUCCUACUGGGUGUCAAUAGAAGGGACACGAGUAAAAACGAUUUCAACUGCUAAACCACAAUUCAAGAAGUUGGGUAAGUUUUAAGUCAUUGAUUUGAGGUGUACAAUGUGUUCUUUACUUUGUUGCAGAUUCGAGUCACUGGUUUACACAUGGAAGAAGAUUUCCACCUCUGUGACACAUCUUUACAAAAGCAAGUAGAGGGCCAGAUGUCGAGCAGUACAGAUGUGUUUCUUGGAGGGAGCUCCCAAACCGUGAGUACAAGUAUUUGAUAUUUAGAAGUCUAUGUGAAAGAUAAUAGCAAUGGUAGAAUCUAUCAGUACUUGUGUUUAGAAAUGCUGAUGUGUGACGGUUAACUGAAAAGGGUAAAUGCUAGCCAGUACUUACACCUGAGCAAACGUGGGAUGUCGAACUAACUGAUGAUGUACUAUGAUGGUGAACACUUACUUUGUGUAUCGAAAUGCUUUUGUUGAUAUGAGUGUGAGCUUAAUACAGCAAUGUUUGAGUAAUACAAAAAAUGUAUGUACUCUUUUGUGGUCGCCAGUUGUCUGUGAUAUGUAUAGUAAAAAAAACACAACACAAAGCUAUGAAGCAUACAAUUGUUUUAAGAUUUUAUCAAUGAUUGUGUACUAUGCAUGUUUUGAUUUAGUUCGUUUCAGAUAUGACAUGACCUGAAUAUUUGACAGUCGAACGGAGCUGAGCAUUGCAGAAAAGGUCUCAUAGUAGCCUCAACAGUGAAUAAGGAUAUCAACUGCUGUGACUAAACUGUUGAAGAAGGGUAAGUGGAACAAUGUGUUUGUUUUAUAAGUACCAUGUAUGCUUUAUUUUGCUCUGUUUCAGAGUAGACAUACAAACAGUGUCUUGCUUUGCAUGCUAUUUUUUAGGUCUCUCAUGCAGUGAGGGAAAAGAAGAAGAUUUCAAUAAAGAAUCACUGCUGCAACUCAGCUCUUUAAACAAGGUAAGUGUUUACUAUGUUGUAUACAAAAUGUUUCUCUUUCUUACUAUGUUUCAGGUUAACAUUGCAGAGAUGUUUUGACAGCUUGUGACAGAAAAGAAAUUCAGCAGCUGUGUCUUGACUGUAGCCACAAGGUAAGUCGAAACAAAUAUACUGGUUUGUAUGUUGUGUUGUUAUGCCCUUCUAUGUUUCAGACUUACAUUGCUGUGACUGUUCCACAGUGGGUCAAAAAAAGACGAAUACAGGUUUCAAGAAGAAAAUUGGCUGUUAAAACUCUGCACAAAAUAUGAGGUAAGUGAACUACUCUUUUGGUUUGUGUUGUGCUUUGUUCUGCUUAACUAUUUUUCAGAUUUGAGUGGUGGGUCGUUACAGAGCAGACUUUUUGACAAGUGAGAAGUUGAGAAACAGAGAAUGAUUUAAGAUCAGCUAGGUAAGUCUUGAUUAUUAUGCAUUGCUAAAUGUUGUUUUUUAUUUCAGUAUGGCUGUGGUAAGUACACUAACUUUCUAUAAUUUAAUAUUGAACUGCUUUGAUAACUUGUAUCCUGCUAUGCAAUGCUUAAUAUAUAUUUUUCAUUUCAGUAUGGCUGUGGUAAGUACACAAACUUUCUUUAAUUUUCACAUUGAACUGUUUUGAUGACUUGUAUCCUGCUAUGCAAAAUGUCUUUUUUUUAUUUCAGUAGCCUGUUGGUAAGUACGCUAACUUUCUAUAAUUUCAUAGUGAAUUGUUUUGAUGACCUGUAUUCUGCAUUGUAAAAUGUGUUUCUUUUUCAUUUCAGUAUGGCUGUGGUAAGUACAAUUGCCUUUCAUAUUGAACUGUUUUGAUGACCUGUAUUUUGCAUUGUAAAAUGUGUUUCUUUUUCAUUUCAGUAUGGCUGUGGUAAGUACACAAACUUUCUUUAAUUUUCAUAUUGAACUGUUUUGAUGACUUGUAUUCUGCUAUACAAAAUGUGUUUUUAUCAGUUCAGUUGCCUGAUGGUAAGUACAAUUUGCUUCUUUAAAUUGCAUGUUGAAAUAUAUUUGAUGACUUUUGUUCUGCUAUGCUCUUUUUCAUUUCAGUUGGGCAGAUGUAAGUACACUUCAUUUAUGUAAAAACUGAAUAUGAUUGUUGUGCUAUACAAAAUGUGCUUUUCUCAAUUUCGGGUCAGCAAUGGUAAGUAGAUUGUGUUUCUUUAUGUAUAAUUUUGUAUACAUAUUGUUUUUUUCAUCAUAGCAUGUUUUUCAUAUUUAUGCUUUGUGUAAGUAAAAUGUUCAUAAAUCAUUCUUAUCUUAAAACUAAAAAUGUAUUGUGCUAUGCAAAAUGUCUGUAUGAUUUCAGUUGCCAGAGGUGAGUACCAUUACAGUUGAAAAGUUAGUUUUGUUUAGUUCAAGUUUUGGUUCACAGUUCUGUUUGUUAUUUGGCAAAAUUUACAUGUAUGCAUUGAGUCUUGAUUUCAGCUCGAUUGUGGACUGAAGAAGAUUGUCCGCAGAGGGAUUGGAUACAAAAUACAAAGUAAGUACUGAGUUUCUUACUAAAAGUUUUGAGUUGUAUUCAUUGUGUGUUAAUAUGCUAUGAUUGCUAUGAACAUGACUUUUGUAUUUCAGCGAAGACAACAUAGGUAAGUAAAAUUGUUAUCUGUUUCAUGUUUACUGUUACAGUUCAAUAUUGUGUUUAUAAAUUGUAAGUUGUACAAACACAUUCAAAAGUUUCUGAUCAUGCUUUCGAUUUCAUUUCAGCUUUACUGCUGGACGAGUGUUCUCUACUACUAGACGUGUCAGGUUUACUACCAGGCGAGCAGUGACAACAAGGCGCCUUUGUGGAAACAACACAACAAAAACUGUACUGCUAGACGAGCAGUGACAGAAAGGCGCCUGAACAUGCAACACAAAACAAAAAAUGCCAAUAUCCAAACCUUGAUGUGGACACCGAGUAGUCAAUACAUACGUGUGGCGUAUAGCUGCGACAAAACCGUGGGUCCAUCGCACCGAUAACUUGAACAUUGGCCCGUGUAUGGACAUCAGUGCAACUUUGUGAAUCCAUGUAACUUUGUGAAUCCAUGUAACAUUGCGAAUGUGUGUCGAUCGAAAAAUGUGUACAUUCUGCACUGAAACGAACUCGGUGUUGCAAGUGGCAAGUGUUGACAGUGUGUAUGUUUAUGUUUAUGUUUUUACAUGAAAAAUAAAGGAGAUUGUUGUUUUA